AGACGCGGGUUCGAUUCCCGCGCGGCGUAAGCUUUUGUUUUUGAGGGCACACGUGAAGCGUAGGCACGCCGUUCAGCGAGCCGUGCUCCCAGUCGGACAGGCACUGGUGCGGGCGCACGCUCGACAGGCUCACGCGCAACUGUUCGCUGGACAGGUGCGCCGGCGCACUGCCGUGCCCACCGCGACAGGGUACACUCGUGCUCGUGAACGUUUCUGUCCAGGAACCCGGAGGCAAGACGACGCAACUCCUUCCAGGUGUGCUUGGGCGCUGGCUCGCAGACCGCUCACAGAGGCGAGUGUCGGUUGCAGUCUCUGCUCCGACAGCUCCAAGGCCAGUUCCGGUACCAUACGGGAAUUUCAUUUACUUGUAACCGCGUUUCUCGGAGCAACGAACGCACUGGACAACCUACUCUAAACAGCUGCGUUCCAGAGAGGCAUCCUCCUGUGUGUCGUGGUAGACACCAGAACUCGCGAUGCCAACGUAGCGUCCAGCACCCCAUCAUUGCUGCAGGUAUUGCGCAGCAGGCCACGGUUGCAGCCUCUGUGCGUCCACCGUCAUCUAUGCCCAGAGUCUGCCGCGCAAUGCUGUGCCCCGGCACCUGCAGCUGCUCCGAACUGCCACAAGGCACUGUCUGCUUGCUGCACAAUGGCGGAGGCGUCUCGAAUCGCGGUGUUGCGGGUGCAGCGUAGCGUGCUCGCACAUACAUAAACCGUCCAAUCGUCGGCUUUCUCGGGGGUACACCGCCUGCUCGCAUGCCUCGCGAACAACCUGGCUUUUUGGUGCGGUUUAGCGUACCCUUUACAUUCCUGAGCCAAUCUAAACCGCUCCCCAAAGUCGCGACGCAUGGGCUCUCUGGGUUGUUUCCCCGCGAAAUCGCUCGAAAACAAUCCUGAUGCCUUUGGCAGCGCGCAUGGUGUAUAACUGGAGACAGCGCUGAGCCGAAGGCGCAACGGCGAUGUAUACAUGCGCACGAUGCCACGCCCAUGGACACGCCGAGGUCCGUAGCCGUGCCAGUCCAGAGACGAAAAGACGACGUCGGAACGGCGAGCUGUCCGCUGGCUCCUGGCAAGACGCACGCUUCCGGGCGAAUGCAUCUACGUGCGUCACUUCGACACAGCUGGAAACAAGCACUCGCCAGUUUCGAAUCUGGUCAUACCAAGGUAUCGCGACACAACGGACACACAAGCGAUUGCGUCCAUGCUACACGUUCGCCUCGAAAGGCUUCCUUCAUCUCAGGCAUCGACCGGAAGAACUGGAUACUGGCCAUUGAAACAGCCGUAACAAUAGUCCCCGCUCUCAUCAGCCAGGAAGGAUCUAAGCGACUCGAGGGACAAAAAUCCCAAAGAGUCCGCUCCAAUCCACUCGCAAGCCUUAUGUGAGUCUGGAAUGCGCCACGAGAGCAGUUCCUCGCGAUUCGGUGUAUCGACCCCGUAGUAGCAGCUGCCUAUAAUUGGCGGGCAAGCGAUGCGCAAAUGGAUCUCGCUAGCGCCAGCCUCGCGCAACAUGUGUACAAUCUUGCGACUCGUGGUGCCGCGCACGAUCGAGUCGUCCACAACAACGACGCGCUUGCCCUCAAUCAGGCUACGGACAGCCGUUAGCUUCAACAUGACACCUGCAUUGCGAAUCUCCUGGGUAGGUUGGAUAAAGGUUCGACCAACAUAA
rnacentral:misc_RNA from 1 species